UGGAAAGCAGCUGAAUACUUGCGUCUAGUAUGCUUCAGCAAGUAGGUGGGUCAACACCAUAAGAUCAUUGAUGUGUUUUCUUUUCUUCCGUACAAGAGUCCUGGUUCUCACUAAACCAAAAACCAAGAAUCGUUCUCCUUCAUCACUCAUCACUUUAGUAGUACCAAGAAAAGAAAAGAGACAAGAUCAAGAUCAAGAGCAAUGAGUUUGUCAACAUUAAAAGAUGGAUCUGGAGCCCAUAUAACAGAUAUAUUUAUAGGUACAUUCAACUUAGUGGUGAUCCACGAUUAUAGAUUCGCCGUUGGCAGUGACACGAGCAGUUUAUGUUGGUUCACCUAAGAAAGUAGCAGUGGAUGAUCGUGGUGUGCCACUACAACAUCAAAAAGUAAACAUAGUUCACGAUUGUAUCGUGGUUAAUUCUGGGAGCCACGAAUUUGCUAAUACGGCAAGAGAUGAAUUGAGACAAAACUAGUCAUAAAAAUCCAAGUUGAUCAAACUUGUGGUACAAAAACCCCACUCAAAUGUUGGGAUCCAAUAAAACUCCAUCGUAAACAAAAUUGAUACAAAAAUCCCAAAUUUUUAAAAAUU